rnacentral:rRNA from 1 species
GAGACCCACACCCUCUGUUGCUACUGAGGAGUUUUCCAAGGGGCACUCUGAGGGGACUGCCGCCGAUAAGGUGGAGGAAGGAGUGGGUCACGGCAGGUCAGUAUGCCCCGAAUCGCCCGGGCCACACGCGAGCUGCAAUGGCUGGGACAAUGGGUCCCGACCCUGAAAAGGGGAGGUAAUCCCGAAACCCGGCCUCAGUUGGGAUCGAGGGCUGUAGCCCGUCCUCGUGAACAUGGAAUCCCUAGUAAUCGCGCGUCAUCAGCGCGCGGUGAAUAC